CACCGGCAGCUCGAGUGGUAGCCGCGUUUAUUGGGCCUAAAGCGUCCGUAGCCGGUCCGAUAAGUCUCUGGUGAAAGCCCACAGCUCAACUGUGGGAAUCGCUGGAGAUACUAUCGGACUUGAGGCCGGGAGAGGCUGGAGGUACUCCCAGGGUAGGGGUGAAAUCCUAUAAUCCUGGGAGGACCACCUGUGGCGAAGGCGUCCAGCUGGAACGGACCUGACGGUGAGGGACGAAAGCCAGGGGCGCGAACCGG
rnacentral:rRNA from 3 species